AUUGAACGCUGGCGGCAUGCCUUACACAUGCAAGUCGAACGGCAGCGCGGGAGCAAUCCUGGUGGCGAGUGGCGAACGGGUGAGUAAAGUAUCGGAACGUGCCCAGUCGUGGGGGAUAACGUAGCGAAAGUUACGCUAAUACCGCAUACGAUCUAUGGAUGAAAGCGGGGGAUCGCAAGACCUCGCGCGAUUGGAGCGGCCGAUAUCAGAUUAGGUAGUUGGGUGGGUAAAGGCUCACCAAGCCGACGAUCUGUAGCUGGUCUGAGAGGACGACCAGCCAAACUGGGAAUGAGCCACGGCCCAGACUCCUACGGGAGGCAGCAGUGGGGAAUUUUGGACAAUGGGCGAAAGCCUGAUCCAGCCAUGCCGCGUGCAGGAUGAAGGCCUUCGGGUUGUAAACUGCUUUUGUACGGAACGAAAAGGUUUGGCCUAAUAAGCUGAGCUCAUGACGGUACCGUAAGAAUAAGCACCGGCUAACUACGUGCCAGCCGCCGCAGUAA
rnacentral:rRNA from 1 species